rnacentral:lncRNA from 1 species
AUGGACACGCUUCAGGAUUAUACACAACGAGAUGCAAUGACUUUGACGCAUGCGCUUCCCCUGCUUACGGACGCCGCGAGCCUUCCGUGCCCGGACAUUUUAACGCAUAUGAAAAUGUUGCAGAAGGCGGAAAUCUUGAAACCACUGACGUUAUUUCGGACCGCGUGGGAACGCUUGCCCGGCAUUUCACAAUGGGUGUUACGCACAAUUCGUCACGGAUACACCAUUCAGUUUCGAAAAGGCCCGCCUCCUUUCCGUGGAAUUCUUCCCACGGUUGUGAAGCCAAAGGAAAUCGCGGUGCUGCAGCAAGAGAUGUCAGCUCUGCUGAGCAAAGGGGCUAUAGAAGAAGUACACCCCUCUCAGAUGGAGUCAGGUUUUUACAGCCGCUAUUUUGUUGUACCAAAAAAAGGCGGCGGUUUGCGACCCAUUUUGGAUCUACGCCGUUUGAAUCUUGCACUCAGGACGAGCAAAUUCAAGAUGUUAACGGUAAAGUCUAUUUUGUCUCUUAUUCAACCAAACAACUGGUUUGUCAUGAUCGAUCUGAAGGAAGCAUAUUUUCAUAUUCGGAUCAUCAAGAGACACAGGAAGUUCCUCAGAUUCGCUUUAGAGGGCAAAGCGUAUCAAUACCGCGUUCUUCCCUUUGGCUUAGCCCUGGCUCCCCGAACUUUUUCGAAAUGCAUGGACGCAGCUCUGGCCCCGUUGCAGAUCCAGGGCGUUCACGUGUUGAAUUACUUAGACGAUUGGCUGGUGUUAGCACAAUCGCAGACUCAAGCACACUCUCACCAGGAUCUUGUGCUGAAUCAUCUAAACAGCCUGGGCUUAUGCACGAAUUUCCAGAAGAGUGUUUUAAUUCCCUCUCAACGGAUAACCUUUCUGGGAAUAGACUUGGACUCUCGCGCGAUGACAGCAAGACUAUCUCUCCCGCGCACUCAGUCUCUCGCGUCAUGCGUGCGUCACUUCAAAAUAGGUCGCACAGUGACUUUUAGGUCUAAUGGCAGCGGCAUCCCCUGUAAUCCGUCUGGGCUUACUUCAUAUGCGCCCAUUUCAGUGAUGGAUGAAAAGCCGGUACAUUUCACCCCAUUGUCUUCCGCAUCGGGCGAUUUCGGUGACACGGAGGUGUGUUAUGUCAAUAAGAUAAUGGAUGUCAAUUGA